ensembl:snoRNA SNORA66 Small nucleolar RNA SNORA66
GUGCAAAUUCAGUCACUAGUUCUGCAUGAUGCAGUAGAUACAAAGGCAACCAGAUCUGCAAAAGUAGCUGUAAUAGAAAUGUUUUAGCCUCAGAAGCUUCUGAAGGGGUCCAUUCUAUUCUGUUCUAUUC